UUGCUUCUGGAGCACACAUACUGAAACAGGAAUAAUACAGAGAAAAUUAGCAUGGCCCCUGUGCAAGUAUGACACACAGGUUUAUGAGCAUUUCAUAUUUUUU
rnacentral:snRNA from 2 species